rnacentral:rRNA from 1 species
UACGAAGGGGGCUAGCGUUGUUCGGAAUCACUGGGCGUAAAGCGCACGUAGGCGGACCUUCAAGUCGGGGGUGAAAUCCCGGGGCUCAACCUCGGAACUGCCUUUGAUACUGUUGGUCUUGAGUCCGGAAGAGGUGGGUGGAAUUCCUAGUGUAGAGGUGAAAUUCGUAGAUAUUAGGAAGAACACCGGUGGCGAAGGCGGCCCACUGGUCCGGUACUGACGCUGAGGUGCGAAAGCGUGGGGAGCAAACAGG